UGAACGCUGACAGAAUGCUUAACACAUGCAAGUCUUUGGCGAAGCUGUGCUUGCACAGCCUAGCCAAGGCGGACGGGUGAGUAACGCGUAAGGAACUUGCCCUGCAGUCAGGGAUAACAGACGGAAACGACUGAUAAGACCUGGUAAAGUCAGGCGGACUCAUGUCCAGCCUGAUGAAAAGAGAUGCUGCAGGAGAGCCUUGCGUCCUAUUAGCUUGUUGGUGGGGUAACGGCCCACCAAGGCGAUGAUAGGUAGCCGGCCUGAGAGGGUGGACGGCCACAAGGGGACUGAGAUACGGCCCUUACUCCUACGGGAGGCAGCAGUGGGGAAUAUUGGACAAUGGGGGCAACCCUGAUCCAGCAAUUCUGUGUGCACGAUGAAGGUUUUCGGAUUGUAAAGUGCUUUCAGCAGGGAAGAAAAAAAUGACGGUACCUGCAGAAGAAGCGACGGCUAAAUACGUGCCAGCAGCCGCGGUAAUACGUAUGUCGCAAGCGUUAUCCGGAAUUAUUGGGCAUAAAGGGCAUCUAGGCGGCCAGAUAAGUCUGGGGUGAAAACUUGCGGCUCAACCGCAAGCCUGCCCUGGAAACUAUGUGGCUAGAGUACUGGAGAGGUGGACGGAACUGCACGAGUAGAGGUGAAAUUCGUAGAUAUGUGCAGGAAUGCCGAUGAUGAAGAUAGUUCACUGGACGGUAACUGACGCUGAAGUGCGA
rnacentral:rRNA from 1 species